rnacentral:rRNA from 1 species
GACGAACGCUGGCGGCGUGCUUAACACAUGCAAGUCGAACGGAAAGGCCUGCUUUCCCUUGUGGAUUGCGGGUACUCGAGUGGCGAACGGGUGAGUAACACGUGAGUGAUCUGCCCCCAACUUGGGUAUAAGCCUGGGAAACUGGGUCUAAUUCCCGAUAGGACUGCAGGGUGGAGCCUGUGGUGGAAAACGAUUUUCUAGUGGUUGGGGAUGAGCUCGCGGCCUAUCAGCUUGUUGGUGGGGUAAUGGCCUACCAAGGCGGCGACGGGUAGCCGGCCUGAGAGGGUGGACGGCCACAUUGGGACUGAGAUACGGCCCAGACUCCUACGGGAGGCAGCAGUGGGGAAUAUUGCACAAUGGGCGGAAGCCUGAUGCAGCGACGCCGCGUGGGGGAUGACGGCCUUCGGGUUGUAAACUCCUUUCGACCGCGAGGAAGCCACCUGGUUGGAAGGGUGGUGACGGUAGUGGUAGAAGAAGCACCGGCUAACUACGUG